rnacentral:rRNA from 1 species
UGGGGUAUCUUGGACAAUGGGCGCAAGCCUGAUCCAGCCAUGCCGCGUGGGUGAAGAAGGCCUUAGGGUUGUAAAGCCCUUUCGGUGGUGAAGAUAAUGACGGUAACCACUAAAGAAGCCCCGGCUAACUUCGUGCCAGCAGCCGCGGUAAUACGAAGGGGGCUAGCGUUGUUCGGAAUUACUGGGCGUAAAGCGCGCGUAGGCGGACAGGUCAGUCAGAGGUGAAAUCCCGGAGCUCAACUCCGGAACUGCCUUUGAUACUGCUUGUCUUGAGACCGGGAGAGGAGAGUGGAAUUCCCAGUGUAGAGGUGAAAUUCGUAGAUAUUGGGAAGAACACCCGUGGCGAAGGCGGCUCUCUGGCCCGGUUCUGACGCUGAGGUGCGACAGCGUGGGGAGCAAACAGGAUUAGAUACCCGCGUAGUCC